rnacentral:lncRNA from 10 species
GGUCAGCUGACCCGGCGGGCCUUGACCCAGAAGCUGGGCCCUGGCGGCGGAUCUGGACGUGGUGAGCCGGACCGGGGGCAGGUGGCAAACUUCACGGCUGGGGGUCGGGGCUCCUGGGCUUCCCUGCCACAUCCUUCCAGCCCUCUCCUCCGGCCGCUGGACUGUCCCGGCUCCUGCGCCCUCCUUGUGGCGCGAUAUCGUGGGACGAGGCUCCGGGCCGGGACUGGGUGGCCCUCGGGAAUCCGCAGCCAGUGGCCCCCCACCUCAAAGGCGACCAGCGCGGCCUCUCGAGCUGGCCUGGCCAGGAGUUGCCCUGCCCCGGCCGACCGGCCCCUUGAGGCAGGAGAUAAGGUUGGGAGGGCAGUUCUUGGAGUAACUUGAGGCCUAGCCUCAGGUAAUUUGGACUUCAUCCUGUAGACAAAGGUGGACACAUGAUUGGCUGUGAUCAUGUGCCCGAAGCACCCUGACUCAGCUUGGGAUCAGGGAGAGGAGUUUGGGUGUGGCAGGAGAUGUCAUCUCCAGCCCAACCUUUCUCAAAGUGCACUAGAUGGAGCAGAAUCGCUGGAGGGCUUCUUAAACCCAGAAUCUCUAAGCCCCAGCCCAGGUGCACUGACUCCAAAUUUUGAACAUGCACCCUCCAAGGGUGAUUCCAGGGUACCGCUUCUGGGGUCCUUCCCAUCCCUGCAGGUGAGGUCAAGCUCCAUUGCAACCUUGGACAUCCAUUUGCUCAGAGCUGUUUGAACAGGAUGUGGGCCCAUGCCUGGCUUCUAGGUGACAGGAACUACGCAGGAUGGCCCUCAGAGCCAGGCCUUUCUGUUCAGGGAUCAGGUGUGUCUCAGAGUGUCCCGAGCUCCACAUUGCACAUGGGUCCUGUCCAAGGUCAGGGGGACACCCACCCAGUAUCCUGGAUCCAUAAACCAAGGUACCUUCCUCAAGACAACUCCCCAACACGCACGCAUACUGGGGUGCAUCCAUUUCAUUUCCUCCUUAACCUAGGGAAAGGGGGAAGUGAGAGAGAGGCCGCAGGGGCCAUAAACCAAGGUACCUUCCUCGAGACAACCCCCCAACACACACAUGCUGAGAUGUGUCCAUUUCAUUUCCUCCCUAACCUGGGGAAAGGGGGAAAUGAGAGGGAGAGUCCCCAAGGUGGUUGAGAUGCUGGACUCUCAUCCUGAAAACAGUCGCUGCCAUGUGUUGUCAGGCACAGGGCUGAGAGCUUUAUGUGCAUUUAGUCAGGGCAGCUGCCCCAAGGAGUGAGUGUCGUUAGCCCCAUUUUAUGGACAGGCUCAGGCAGGUUAAUUCACUUCCAGGGCUGCUCAGCCUCACCUGUCAAA